CAUGGCUCAGGACGAACGCUGGCGGCGUGCCUAACACAUGCAAGUCGAGCGAAGUAGGAUGUGUUCUUCGGAAUGUGUUCUACUUAGCGGCGGACGGGUGAGUAACGCGUGAGGAACCUGCCUCUCACAGAGGGAUAGCCUCGGGAAACUGAGGGUAAUACCUCAUGAGACUUAUGUACCGCAUGGUAUAUAAGUUAAAGCGAUUUAGCGGUGAGAGAUGGCCUCGCGUCCCAUUAGCUAGUUGGUGAGGUAACGGCUCACCAAGGCGACGAUGGGUAGCCGGCCUGAGAGGGUGGACGGCCACACUGGAACUGAGACACGGUCCAGACUCCUACGGGAGGCAGCAGUGGGGGAUAUUGCACAAUGGGGGAAACCCUGAUGCAGCGACGCCGCGUGAGCGAAGAAGGCCUUCGGGUCGUAAAGCUCUGUCCUAAGGGAAGAUAAUGACGGUACCUUAGGAGGAAGCCCCGGCUAACUACGUGCCAGCAGCCGCGGUAAAACGUAGGGGGCGAGCGUUGUCCGGAAUUACUGGGCGUAAAGGGUGCGUAGGCGGCUAUUUAAGUCAGAUGUGAAAGGCUACGGCUCAACCGUAGUGAGCAUUUGAAACUGAAUAGCUUGAGUCAAGGAGAGGGAAGUGGAAUUCCUGGUGUAGCGGUGAAAUGCGUAGAUAUCAGGAGGAAUACCAGUGGCGAAGGCGACUUCCUGGCCUUAGACUGACGCUGAGGCACGAAAGCGUGGGGAGCAAACAGGAUUAGAUACCCUGGUAGUCCACGCCGUAAACGAUGAGUGCUAGGUGUUUGGGGGAGGUUACUCUUCAGUGCCGCAGCUAACGCAAUAAGCACUCCGCCUGGGGAGUACGUACGCAAGUAUGAAACUCAAAGGAAUUGACGG
rnacentral:rRNA from 1 species